rnacentral:rRNA from 1 species
UACCCUGCGGAGGGAUCAUUA